UAUAGCCGCCGUGCUGGCAGCAGGA
rnacentral:sRNA from 1 species